CGUCACCGAUGCCUCAAAGUCACACACGCGGUUCAACAAACAAAAUAUCGCCUCAUUGCAGCACACAGAUUUGCGACACAUAGGACUCUUUCUGUGGGGACCAUCUUACUAGAUUUCCGUGUACAAUUAAUUUAUUAUUACUUAUCAAUUUAAAAUAUAUUAAAAUUUAAAUGACCUAAACAACUUAACUCUUAAGAAAAUGGGAGUGAGCGAAGAAACCAUCUUACGCGUUGGUAAAUUUGACAAAAAUACACGGGCCCGGGCCGACCCAUAUUGAAUAAGGUUGUAGCACUUGAUAAUAGACAAUUAGCAGAAUCUUCCGGGUGCAUGUAAAGUAUAAGUGGGAGCAGUGUGCAUGAUACGUGUCCCACAACCAUGAGAACACCUGAUUCAUUUCAGUUACCCCAAUCUCAUUGGUAUCAACACCUCGCCACUGUGGAGUUUACUUUCAAGAUGGUUGAUGUUAACAACAAAUUACAUUUAUCAAUAUAAUGCUUACCCAAGAUUUGACCCUUGAAACCGAAAGCACCGAUUAGUCUUACUGGAGCAAAUUGGUGCGAAGUUGUCACUAUCAGCAUCUCCUCAACUUCUAAGAGGUGAUUUGUCAAACAGAGGAAGGGCACACCACCAAAUAAAAUUCGUAUGUGAUAAAUCGGUAGGAUCAAAAAGAGUUGACAAACAAGUUCACAAAAACUACAAUGCCAAGAGGAAAACCCAAACAUGUGUCUAGAUUUUGCAGUGGUUGGCGUGUCAAAUUCUUGCAACCCUUG